rnacentral:tRNA from 1 species
GCCCCAGUAGCUCAAAGGUAGAGCACCUGCCUUGUAAGCAGGGGGUUGAGGGUUCAAAUCCCUCCUGGGGCU